rnacentral:rRNA from 1 species
AGUGAACGCUGGCGGCGUGCCUAAUACAUGCAAGUCGAACGCGAAAGUCCUUCGGGAUGAGUAAAGUGGCGCACGGGUGAGUAAUACAUGGGAACAUGCCCUUGGAUGGGGAAUAACGUUUGGAAACGAACGCUAAUACCGCAUAAUCUCGCGAGAGUAAAGGUGGCGCCGCAAGGGCUAACGUCCAAGGAUUGGCCCAUGUCCCAUUAGCUGGUUGGCGGGGUAAUGGCCCACCAAGGCAACGAUGGGUAACUGGUCUGAGAGGAUGAUCAGUCACACUGGAACUGAGACACGGUCCAGACUCCUACGGGAGGCAGCAGUAGGGAAUAUUGCACAAUGGGGGAAACCCUGAUGCAGCAACGCCGCGUGAGUGAAGAAGGCCCUUGGGUUGUAAAGCUCUUUAGCCUGGGAAGAAGGUAGAUAUGGUGAAUAAUCAUGUUUGCUGACGGUACCACGAGAAUAAGCACCGGCUAAUUUCGUGCCAGCCGCCGCCGUAA